rnacentral:rRNA from 1 species
GUACAAAUCAUCAUCGCCCCUUAUGUUCUGGGCUACACACGUGCUACAAUGGCCGGUACAGACGGACGCAAAGCCGCGAGGUGGAGCAAAUCCUAAAAAGCCGGUCUCAGUUCGGAUUGCAGGCUGCAAUUCGCCUGCAUGAAGUCGGAAUCGCUAGUAAUCGCAGGUCAGCAUACUGCGGUGAAUACGUUCCCGGGCCUU